rnacentral:siRNA from 1 species
UGUGUCACAAGAUAAGUUGAUGCC